UACUGCGGGUGCAAGCGUUGUUCGGAAUCACUGGGCGUAAAGCGCGUGUAGGCGGCCUCUUCAGUCUGAUGUGAAAGCCCGGGGCUCAACCCCGGCAGUGCAUUGGAUACUGGGAGGCUGGAGUACCGGAGAGGAGGGUGGAAUUCCUGGUGUAGCGGUGAAAUGCGUAGAUAUCAGGAGGAACACCGGUGGCGAAGGCGGCCCUCUGGACGGAUACUGACGCUGAGACGCGACAGCGUGGGGAGCAAACAGG
rnacentral:rRNA from 1 species